UACGUAGGGGGCAAGCGUUGUCCGGAAUUAUUGGGCGUAAAGAGCGUGUAGGCGGCCAGAUAAGUCCGCUGUGAAAUCUCGAGGCUCAACUUCGAGCUGUCGGUGGAAACUAUCUGGCUAGAGUCCGGAAGGGGAGAAUGGAAUUCCUGGUGUAGCGGUGAAAUGCGCAGAUAUCAGGAAGAACACCCGUGGCGAAGGCGGUUCUCUGGGACGGUACUGACGCUGAGACGCGAAAGCGUGGGGAGCGAACAGG
rnacentral:rRNA from 1 species